rnacentral:rRNA from 1 species
GAUAAAUAAAUCAUAUCAUCAAUUUGGUGAUUUUUGAUUUAUAUGUUGCUAAAUAAUUAUUUAUUGUCUGAUAGUGAACGCGUGCAUUUUUCUUCUGGUAGGACGUUGCGAUCCGUUAGCAAAAUUUUAUCAAUCUAUGAUUUAUAGUUAUAAGUUCAUUGAUACAUAUAUAUUUUUUUUUAUAUAUGUUAAUAUUAAUGAAACUAUAAAAUCUGAUUGAUUUAUCUGACGGUAGAUGUAAGGUUAAAAGUCGCUAAAUUAUUUAGCGUUAGAGGCUAGACAAAUAUAUAAAUUGUGUAAAGAUAUAAUUAUUGUUUUUUAAAUGAUAAUUGUUUUCUCGGUAAUCGAUAUUUAUAUCAAUUCCGGGCCUUUUAUAUAUUGUUAGUUGAGCAUAUCUCUAACAGACUUUAUUAUCUAAUAAAUAAAACCAAUCUGCAACGCUAUAGCUUUGGGUAAUUUCAGGACCCGUCUUGAAACACGGACCAAGGAGUCUAGCAUGUUCGCAAGCCAUUGGGAUUAUAAAAACCUAUAGGCAUAAUGAAAGUAAAAAUUAAUUUAUCUUGUAUAAAUUAAAGGGAAGAUGAAUAAAUUAUUUCGCAUUCCCGGGGCGUUUAAAUUUUAUUUGUUUGUUUUGCAUUCAAAUGAGAUUAUGCGCACCAAGAGUGUACACGCUGGGACCCGAAAGAUGGUGAACUAU